rnacentral:tRNA from 1 species
GCGGGAUUAGUAUAAUGGCAUUAUGUGUCCUUCCCAAGGACAAGACGCGGGUCCGAUUCCCGCAUCCCGCU